rnacentral:rRNA from 1 species
GCNCGUUACGAAUUCGCCCUUAGAGUUUGAUCAUGGCUCAGGAUGAACGCUAGCGGCAGGCUUAACACAUGCAAGUCGAGGGGCAGCAUGUCCAGCAAUGGAUGAUGGCGACCGGCGGAAGGGUGCGUAACGCGUGAGCAACAUGCCCUAUACAGGGAGAUACACCAGGGAAACUUGGUCUAACAUCCCAUAGCAUUCAUUGAAGGCAUCUUUAAUGAAUUAAAGCUUCGGUGGUAUAGGAUUGGCUCGCGUGACAUUAGCCAGAUGGUGAGGUAACGGCUCACCAUAGCAAUGAUGUCUAGGGGUUUUGAGAGGAAGGCCCCCCACACUGGGACUGAGACACGGCCCAGACUCCUACGGGAGGCAGCAGUGAGGAAUAUUGGACAAUGGAUGGAAAUCUGAUCCAGCCAUGCCGCGUGCAGGAAGACGGCCUUAUGGGUUGUAAACUGCUUUUAUACGGGAGCAAUAAGGGUUACGAGUAAUCCGAUGAGAGUACUGUAUGAAUAAGGAUCGGCUAACUCCGUGCCAGCAGCCGCGGUAAUACGGAGGAUCCGAGCGUUAUCCGGAAUUAUUGGGUUUAAAGGGUGCGUAGGCGGCCAUUUAAGUCAGCGGUGAAAUUUUGCAGCUUAACUGUAACAGUGCCGUUGAUACUGUUUGGCUAGGAUUUGGUUGUAGUGUGCGGAAUGUGUGGUGUAGCGGUGAAAUGCUUAGAUAUCACACAGAACACCGAUUGCGAAGGCAGCACACUAAGUCAUUAUUGACGCUGAGGCACGAAAGUGUGGGGAUCAAACAGGAUUAGAUACCCUGGUAGUCCACACUGUAAACGAUGAUAACUCGCUGUCGGCGAUAC